rnacentral:misc_RNA from 1 species
GAACGCCCGACGGUAUGACGAAKUUUGAAUUCACCCCCGCCUGUCCGGACGCUCCCGGCGUCCUUAGCUCGGAUUUUGGCCAACCGCGUGCGGUAACUCACGGGAGACCAUCUUCCGGCCCAUGUCCUCGASAGGAUGGGGGGACCACGAUUUGUGACACCCAGGCAAACGUGCCCGCGGCCAAAAGGCUUGGGGCGCAACUUGCGUUCAAAGACUCGAUGGUUCACGGGAUUCUGCAUUCACACCAAGUAUCGCAUUUCGCUACGUUCUUCAUCGAUGCGAGAGCCGAGAUAUCCGUUGCCGAAAGUCGUUUUAGACUUUACAUCGCGCACUGCUUCCGAACAAACACCGUCUCCGGGUUUCUCGAACGCAGGCUACUUASUUGAUUGUUCCUUGACACUUUUCGUGCCGUGGUUUGGUGAAAUCCGGAACCUAUGAUUAAGACUCAGCCACGACCAAAAAAAGCCUUGGCUGCGAACAAAACACAUAACCWCGGCAUCGGCAGGCCCGGAAUCGGCRAAAAAACCGGCCCGCCGAGAGUAGAGUUUAAUUGUUCUCGGGUCGUUCKGUUUCCAGGGUACGACAAUGAUCCUUCCGCAGGUUCACCUACGGAAACCUUGUUACAACUUCACCUUCCAA